rfam:Rattus norvegicus chromosome 19, whole genome shotgun sequence.
GGGGAUUUAGCUCAGUGAUAGAGCGCUUGCCUAGCAAGUGCAAGGCCCUGGGUUCAGUCCCCA